AAUAGGAUCCUCAGUAUGGCGAAUGAACAGGGAUGAGCUCAGUAUGGAAAUUGGGGCCUGUGGCCUUGAAUUGUAAUCUGGAGAUGUACCACCAACUGGGGCGCAGAUGUAAGCCUCUUGGAAAAGAGCAUCAAUGAGGGUGAGAGUCCCGCUUGGCAUCUGCAGUCCCCAGUGCACGGUGUACCUUCUAAGAGUCACGUUCCUCGGGAUUGGAGCGCAAAUCGGGUGGUAAGUUUCAUCUAAAGCUAAAUAUAGUUUCGAGACCGAUAGCAAACAAGUACCAUGAGGGAAAGGUGAAAAGGACUUUGAAAAGAGAGUUAAAAGUGCCUGAAAUUGCUGAAAGGGAAGCGAAUGGAACCAGCGUAACUUGGCGAGAUUGCUGCGUGUCAAUGUGAUUGCUUGCUGCUUCAACGUAAGUGUUGUAGUAAGUCUUGAACAGGACAUGCGCGGUGCUUCUUGCCUUGUGUGUCACCGUCAAUUCGCAACUGGGGAAAACUUCAGGGACAUGGUAGCCUGUCUCCGGGUGGGUGAACGUGUUUGCUGGAACUCAUUUGCGGAUUGCUUGGUGACUAAAUGGUUCCAUCUGACCCGUCUUGAAACACGGACCAAGGAGUCUAACAUAUGUGCAAGUUCACGGGUGUUAAACCUGCUUGCGUAAUGAAAGUGACUGCUGGGAUUUUUGCACCAGCAACCGACCAAUCAAUUGAGAGAGGUUUGAGUAUGAGCAUAUCUGUUAGGACCCGAAAGAUGGUGAACUAUGCCUGUGAAGGGCAAACUCAGGGGAAACUCUGAUGGAGGCUCGUAGCGGUACUGAC
rnacentral:rRNA from 1 species